GAUGAACGCUGGCGGCGUGCCUAAUACAUGCAAGUCGAGCGAACGGACGAGAAGCUUGCUUCUCUGAUGUUAGCGGCGGACGGGUGAGUAACACGUGGAUAACCUACCUAUAAGACUGGGAUAACUUCGGGAAACCGGAGCUAAUACCGGAUAAUAUUUUGAACCGCAUGGUUCAAAAGUGAAAGACGGUCUUGCUGUCACUUAUAGAUGGAUCCGCGCUGCAUUAGCUAGUUGGUAAGGUAACGGCUUACCAAGGCAACGAUGCAUAGCCGACCUGAGAGGGUGAUCGGCCACACUGGAACUGAGACACGGUCCAGACUCCUACGGGAGGCAGCAGUAGGGAAUCUUCCGCAAUGGGCGAAAGCCUGACGGAGCAACGCCGCGUGAGUGAUGAAGGUCUUCGGAUCGUAAAACUCUGUUAUUAGGGAAGAACAUAUGUGUAAGUAACUGUGCACAUCUUGACGGUACCUAAUCAGAAAGCACGGCUAACUACGUGCCAGCAGCCGCGGUAAUACGUAGGUGGCAAGCGUUAUCCGGAAUUUAUUGGCGUAAAGCGCGCGUAGGCGGUUUUUUAGUCUGAUGUGAAAGCCCACGGCUCAACCGUGGAGGGUCAUUGGAAACUGGAAAACUUGAGUGCAGAAGAGGAAAGUGGAAUUCCAUGUGUAGCGGUGAAAUGCGCAGAGAUAUGGAGGAACACCAGUGGCGAAGGCGACUUUCUGGUCUGUAACUGACGCUGAUGUGCGAAAGCGUGGGGAUCAAACAGGAUUAGAUACCCUGGUAGUCCACGCCGUAAACGAUGAGUGCUAAGUGUUAGGGGGUUUCCGCCCCUUAGUGCUGCAGCUAACGCAUUAAGCACUCCGCCUGGGGAGUACGACCGCAAGGUUGAAACUCAAAGGAAUUGACGGGGACCCGCACAAGCGGUGGAGCAUGUGGUUUAAUUCGAAGCAACGCGAAGAACCUUACCAAAUCUUGACAUCCUUUGACAACUCUAGAGAUAGAGCCUUCCCCUUCGGGGGGCAAAGUGACAGGUGGUGCAUGGUUGUCGUCAGCUCGUGUCGUGAGAUGUUGGGUUAAGUCCCGCAACGAGCGCAACCCUUAAGCUUAGUUGCCAUCAUUAAGUUGGGCACUCUAAGUUGACUGCCGGUGACAAACCGGAGGAAGGUGGGGAUGACGUCAAAUCAUCAUGCCCCUUAUGAUUUGGGCUACACACGUGCUACAAUGGACAAUACAAAGGGCAGCGAAACCGCGAGGUCAAGCAAAUCCCAUAAAGUUGUUCUCAGUUCGGAUUGUAGUCUGCAACUCGACUACAUGAAGCUGGAAUCGCUAGUAAUCGUAGAUCAGCAUGCUACGGUGAAUACGUUCCCGGGUCU
rnacentral:rRNA from 1 species